AGAGUUUGAUCCUGGCUCAGGAUGAACGCUGGCGGCGUGCUUAACACAUGCAAGUCGAGCGAAGCACCUUGACGGAUUUCUUCGGAUUGAAGCCUUGGUGACUGAGCGGCGGACGGGUGAGUAACGCGUGGGUAACCUGCCUCAUACAGGGGGAUAACAGUUGGAAACGGCUGCUAAUACCGCAUAAGCGCACAGUACCGCAUGGUACGGUGUGAAAAACUCCGGUGGUGUGAGAUGGAUCCGCGUCUGAUUAGCCAGUUGGCGGGGUAACGGCCCACCAAAGCGACGAUCAGUAGCCGACCUGAGAGGGUGACCGGCCACAUUGGGACUGAGACACGGCCCAAACUCCUACGGGAGGCAGCAGUGGGGAAUAUUGCACAAUGGGGGAAACCCUGAUGCAGCGACGCCGCGUGAGCGAUGAAGUAUUUCGGUAUGUAAAGCUCUAUCAGCAGGGAAGAAAAUGACGGUACCUGACUAAGAAGCCCCGGCUAACUACGUGCCAGCAGCCGCGGUAAUACGUAGGGGGCAAGCGUUAUCCGGAUUUACUGGGUGUAAAGGGAGCGUAGACGGCAUGGCAAGCCAGAUGUGAAAGCCCGGGGCUCAACCCCGGGACUGCAUUUGGAACUGUCAGGCUAGAGUGUCGGAGAGGAAAGCGGAAUUCCUAGUGUAGCGGUGAAAUGCGUAGAUAUUAGGAGGAACACCAGUGGCGAAGGCGGCUUUCUGGACGAUGACUGACGUUGAGGCUCGAAAGCGUGGGGAGCAAACAGGAUUAGAUACCCUGGUAGUCCACGCCGUAAACG
rnacentral:rRNA from 1 species